rnacentral:rRNA from 1 species
AUUGAACGCUGGCGGCGUGCUUAACACAUGCAAGUCGAACGCGAAAGGGACUUCGGUCCUGAGUAAAGUGGCGCACGGGUGAGUAACGCGUGGAUAAUCUGCCCUUAUGAUUGGAAUAACAGUUGGAAACGGCUGCUAAUACCGGAUACGCUCAAAAUGAACUUUUUGAGGAAAAGAUGGCCUCUGCUUGCAUGCUAUCGCAUAAGGAUGAGUCCGCGUCCCAUUAGCUUGUUGGCGGGGUAACGGCCCACCAAGGCAACGAUGGGUAGCCGAUUUGAGAGGAUGAUCGGCCACACUGGAACUGAAACACGGUCCAGACUCCUACGGGAGGCAGCAGUGGGGAAUAUUGCGCAAUGGGCGAAAGCCUGACGCAGCGACGCCGCGUGAGGGAUGAAGGUUUUCGGAUCGUAAACCUCUGUCAGAAGGGAAGAAACUACGUUGUGCUAAUCAGCAGCGUACUGACGGUACCUUCAAAGGAAGCACCGGCUAACUCCGUG